rnacentral:rRNA from 1 species
UACGGGGGGAGCAAGCGUUGUUCGGAUUUACUGGGCGUAAAGGGCGCGUAGGCGGUUUGCUAAGUUGAAUGUGAAAACUCUGGGCUUAACCCAGAGCCUGCAUUCAAUACUGGCAGGCUAGAGUUCUGGAGGGGAUAGCGGAAUUCCGAGUGUAGAGGUGAAAUUCGUAGAUAUUCGGAAGAACACCAGUGGCGAAGGCGACUCGCUGGACAGACAUUGACGCUGAGGUGCGAAAGCGUGGGGAGCAAACAGG